UGUGGCUGGCUGGCUGUCUCUCUGUGUGUGUGGCUGGCUGUCUCUCUGUGUGGCUGACUGUCUCUUUGUGUGGCUGGCUGUCUCUUUGUGUGGCUGGCUGUCUCUUUGUGUGGCUGGCUGGCUCUCUGUGUGGCUGGCUGGCUGUUUCUCUGUGUGGCUGGCUGUCUCUCUGUGUGUCUGGCUGUCUCUCUGUAUGGCUGGCUGUCUCUCUGUGUGGCUGGCUGUCUCUCAGUGUGGCUGGCUGUCUCUCAGUGUGGCUGGCUGUCUCUUU